GCAUCAUUUUAGCCUUUUGGCUAAGAUCAACUGUACUAUCUCUUCUUGCCUGGUUAAUAACUGUCACCUCCUCAAUAUGGGAAAAAUAUUAAAUGGAUUUGUGGAACUAUGAUAUGAACAGGGAGAUUGCUUCAUCCAGUCCACAAGUCAACCUGAUAUUGCAGUACUGCCUGAAAUAAUUCUGAAAAA